GUCGGGGAGCGGGGCAGCCGCCCGGGCGCUAACGGCCCCGCCGCUCCUUUCCAGCGCCGCCUGCGGCACGCGUCGGCUGUCAGCUCAAAUCCCGGCAUCGACGUGGUUAUGUUGCCGGUGGUUACGACGCUGCUUUGUCCGUAGGCUUUUAGAACCAACGGUGCAGGUGGCAUUUUCCUCGUACGAUUGUACCAAGAGGUCGAGCUGCAACGUACACGGGCAGUUAAGGAAACAAAGCCUUUCGGUCACCACCUUGUUGCGAAAGUCCUCGGCACUCCGUAAGCAGAUCCAUAUGUAGUGGCUGGAAUUCAUCGUGCUGCUGUAUGGAGGCACUGGGUGCUGAAGAAGCAUCUGACUUCGGUGAGGUGAAGGAUGUACUUUCAGCUGAGGACUGAACUCAGACUAGAUAUUAGGAGGAAAUUCUUUACCGUGAGGGUGGU